rnacentral:tRNA from 1 species
UGUAAAAUAGUGUAAAUGCACUUUAACUUUUGAUGUUAAAAGAAAAAGAUUAACCUUUUAUUUACAA